UACGAAGGAGGCUAGCGUUGCUCGGAUUGACUGGGCGUAAAGGGCGCGUAGGCGGUUCGUAACAUGAUCAGAACGUUGAAAAUUCCUGGGCUCAAACCUGGGGGCUGCGUUUGAUUACGUUGCGGACUUGAAGUGGUCGGAAGAGGGUCGGUGGGAAAUUCCCAGUGUAGAGGUGAAAAUUCGUAGAUAUUGGGAAAGAACACCGGUGGCGAAGGCGGCGACCUGGUCCGAUACGUGACGCUGAAGGCGCGAAAGCGUGGGAGCAAACAGG
rnacentral:rRNA from 1 species